CUGAGACGAAGAGGCUCAGAACCCGGUUCUCUGAUCUCAAAACCCCCAGACUUCCUCCGACCUGCAUAUUCAGUCACCUUUUCUUUUCCCUUGUCCAGUGCUUUUCCUUUUCCUUCAUCAACUGCCUUUCCUUUGCCCUUUCCUUUUCUUUUGUCCUUAUCCUUAGUUAGAACCUCUGGAGUAAAUGCCUCCCAAUCUGGCUCAUCCUCCUCAGAUUCUUCGCUCGGAGCAUAUUCGC
rnacentral:lncRNA from 1 species